rnacentral:sRNA from 2 species
CAAACUUCUUGGGUUAUAUCCUCGGGACCGCGGAGGAGCCAGUUGAUUCAUAUAUAGGUGGUGCGAGGGUCCACGGCCGCGAUCUAGGUUCCGAAGAUCGGGGGUUUGUUGGAUGUGGACGUGAGCGUGGACGUGUCCUACUCAGAAUACCCCCGUCGGUGAAACAGAAACGUUUCGAGGAUUCUCGUCGCGAAUAAAGUUUUCUGGAUCGGACGUUUGGAAGCGUUCUGGAAGCCUGGAAACAGGGGGGCGUUUCGGUGCAAUUCAGCCCAUUGCUGACGGUGUUGGCAACAAAGGAAAAGAAAGUUGGGAUUCAAUAUCGAGACCAUUAUUAUCGCUCGGGUCUACCACACACACACACACACUCACUCAUUCAUCACCCGCUCAGGUCAAGCGUUGGUGUUAACUCUCGAUGAGCAAGGUUGAGUUCAAACCAUGUUUGAACAGGAGGAGGAACAGGAGGAACAGAGUGAUCCUCGGGCGGAAUGAGUGGAGACUUGCUGACUAACACGUUCAACUUAAAUCCGUCCUGUUUUGUAUCGUGUUACAUACAUGAACUGAACGAUGAAACUGACGGUGUUGGAGGAUGGUUGGGCCGGUUGAAAUACAACCGGGAGAAUACUGCUGUGAGAGAAGAUUUUUGAACAGAUCGAAAAAAAGAAGGAAAAAAAAUACUCCUCUUCUCCGACCAAUGGCACGGCCAUCUACGCAGUAGCGCGGUUUGUCAGGCCGCCCCGUUUCAACCUCUCCAAACCUUCUCACCACCGGAUCCAGCCACUAGCUCAGGAACAGGUGUGCGGUGUGCCUGGCUAGCAGCGCCUCACCCAAGGUAGCGCUGGGUGAGCCGGGAGAACGCGCCAGGGGAAACAGGGGAAACGGCCAGUCACGACUCGCAGCGUCACAACACAGCACAACAAAGAAAAUAAAGGGAAAGGAAUUCUCCACGGGAGUCCAUACCAGUAUAAAGUACAACCUUUAGUUAUAUAACAAUGAAAGACGGUGAGCUGUUGCCGUUGCCGGUCUGCCACGUCUGCGACGGCUGCAACCGUGCCACGCCGUACCUCGACGGGAUAACACUGCGUAGAAUUUUUCUUUCAGAACGAAUGGCAAACACGAAAUAAAAUAAAAUAAAAUAAAGAAACACAGACUAAAACAGCCUAAA